rnacentral:rRNA from 1 species
UACGUAGGGUGCGAGCGUUUAAUCGGAAUUACUGGGCGUAAAGCGUGCGCAGGCGGUUCGCUGUGUCCUGUGUGAAAGCCCCGGGCUUAACCUGGGAACUGCGUUUGAAACUGGGGGGCUAGAGUGUGGAAGAGGGGGGUGGAAUUCCAGGUGUAGCAGUGAAAUGCGUAGAGAUCUGGAGGAACACCGAUGGCGAAGGCAGCCCCCUGGGCUAACACUGACGCUCAUGCACGAAAGCGUG